GACGAAGGGGGCUAGCGUUGUUCGGAAUUACUGGGCGUAAAGGGCGCGUAGGCGGUUCUUUAAGUCAGGCGUGAAAGCCCUGGGCUCAACCUGGGAGUGGCGCUUGAUACUGAGGAACUAGAGAGUGGGAGAGGUUGGUGGAAUUCCCAGUGUAGAGGUGAAAUUCGUAGAUAUUGGGAAGAACACCGGUGGCGAAGGCGGCCAACUGGACCAUUUCUGACGCUGAGGCACGAAGGUCAGGGGAGCAAACGGG
rnacentral:rRNA from 1 species